rnacentral:misc_RNA from 1 species
UUUUUAUUUUUUUUUUUUUUCCCAGUGAAAGUUCUAUCCGUGCAGGCUCACAAAGUUACAUUAUCAAUCGUGAUUAGUCAAACAAGAUUGCCUUAUAUGCAAAGUAUAAAUGGUGUAAUAGAUAAAAUAAAAGGAAAAAUUAGGACGGACAAUAUUUUAUUGAAGAACAAAGUUUUUAAGAACAAAGUGUGGAUGGGGGAAUAGUGUGUCUAGAGAGAGAGAGAGAGAGA